AAUUUCUAAUAUGGCAGAUUAGUGCAAUGGAUUUAAGCCCCAUAUAUAAAGUUUAAACUUUUUUUAGAAA
rnacentral:tRNA from 1 species